UUUGGAAGUAAAAGAAACUGAAACACCUGCAACAGGUAGGAGGGUUCCUAUCCCAUUGCUAUCUGCAGCAUUGGCUAUUGGUGUCCGUGUUGCUGCUAAAUGGGCUGGCUACCGACACUUGACAUGGAUGAUAGUUUGACGACAUGGUGGCUAUCAGAUUCUUUCGGCUCAAAUAUGCUGUGCCUUGCCUUGUAGAUGUCAAGGAAGUGUCGUCUUUAGAAGAUGAAAAAUGUUGUGAAAAAAUGUUGAAGCGCAGGGAAUGAGAAGAGAAAUGGUGGAGAGGAGUGAAGGCAGCACCAGGUAGUAGUUGGGUCAUCAAUCAAGACUGAGGCAAAAUUUUUAAGUUCUUAAAGGAGUUUGUUGCUUAAUUUUUAAUGAUUGAGAUGAUCAGAGAUAAAUGGACGCUGGAUAUGCUUUUCUGUGUCAAAUAGACGGCUAAAUUAUCGAAAUUUACUCAUGUUAGUAUAUGCUUGAUUCCCUUAUAAAAGG
rnacentral:lncRNA from 1 species